GACGGAGGGUGCAAGCGUUGUUCGGAAUUACUGGGCGUAAAGAGCGUGUAGGCGGCCUGAUAAGUCGAAUGUGAAAGCCCGAGGCUCAACCUCGGAAGUGCAUUCGAUACUGUCGGGCUUGAGUACGGGAGAGGGAAGUGGAAUUCCUGGUGUAGAGGUGAAAUUCGUAGAUAUCAGGAGGAACACCGGUGGCGAAGGCGGCUUCCUGGACCGAUACUGACGCUGAGACGCGAAAGCGUGGGGAGCAAACAGG
rnacentral:rRNA from 1 species